UCCAAUGGGCACACAUCAACCAACCAAUCACAUGUCAAUGAUGAACUCUGAUGUCAUUGUUUUUCAUCCAUUGACUGAGAAUCCACGUGGGUCUGCUGAAGCGCCUUUUCAUAUGCUAGGCUAUUCAUAUGCUAAGUAGAGUCGUUAACGCCUCUUGCUCCCCCGCACCGCCACUCACCCCCUCCAAGGAUUCCGCAAUCGACAGAUUACGACUCCCGUUUUUUCCUCACCAUCAGAGUCAAGCAGCAGCUUACCUGAACAGGCAACAUUGGGAGGACAUGUCAGCCAGCUGAAAGCCAUGUUCCUCCUGUACCCUCCCGGCCGCUCUCCUCCCCUGCUAUCGCUCCGUCUUGGUGAAAGGCCAGUGCGAGCACAAAGGCCGGCGGUGGUUGUGUGUGCCUUUCCAUCGACGGGUCCCCCGCUCUAAAAGGCGCUGCUGUCACCGUUUAUCUGCUGCUUCCUGAUUCCCUUCCAUCGACUCUCAGCCAAUCAAUUCACUAAAUGAUGCAAUUAUACACCCUCCUUCUCCUCACCCCCACAUUUAAAGUUGAGAGGUUUAUUUUGGAUCAAUCCCGACCACUUUGUGUGCAAAUUACACAAUUGCAUUGCCUUCAGAUUCUUUAGGCAACCCAAUUGGAGGGAGCCCUGGGUGUGAAUGCCUAAUGAGAGACCCUGUCCUUCAAAAAGGCUCUGUCGAACACAGAUGGAGACAAUUAGAGAGGAGAGGAAAAAAAGUCAUUUUUGUUUCUUUACUACUUUAGAAAAGCUACCCGGAAAGCUGGCCUUGUCUGAUCUCCGUUAUGGCCCAGUUCUGCCUCACUCUCUGGAUCCAUUCGGGCUGCAGUCAGCUGUUGACCGGUUCAUUGGCUGUAGGGUCAGGUACUGAGAUGAGAGAUGCUCAUUCUCUCCACCAGUCUCUUGGUGGUCUUUGCUAAGUGAAGGCUUGUAUUUUUAAUUCUUCAAUCGAUUAACUUUCCUCAGCUUCCUCGCUGACUAGCGGGUAUAGAACAGAUCUGCCAUGAUCGCUGUGUUUACUGUACUGUUGUAAAUCACACACACAACAAAAUGCCAUGUGGGAGGGGGUGUGAGCAAAAACGAACGUCCCACAACCACAUGAUUGCACAUUGACAGCUCAACUUUGCUCCAACCAUUCUGGGCCCUGGACACAAAGACAUAAAUCCACACAUUGUUAUACCACUACUAAAAACUCAUUUUUGUAUGUAAAAAUAUAAUAAAAAACACGGUUACAAUCAUUGCUUCUCUACCUCCUUCAGUCAGUCUGCCAGCCUAUAUACUUUAUAUGUUUUGUAGGGAUGCAGAUGUCCACCCCAUCUUCUGAGCCCCAUUUCUGAGGUAGUGCUAUCGCCAUGGUUACUGAAAGAGACUGACAGCUGAACUGGAGAACUGGACCUUUAAAGAAGCCAUUCACCCAAAUCCUCCUCUGACCCCGGGCCCUCUCCUCCGUUUCCUGCUGUGCUUAGGUUGUGUUCUAACAUCAGAUAAAAAGAGCUCUGAUCCCUGACUCAGACUUGUCCCCUGGUUUAUGUGCAUGUGUGGGAGAGAGCUGGACAAAUCUACCAAUCUAUUCCCAGCAGCCGCUCUGACCAGUCAAACAUGGCUGCCAGUGCUGGUUGACUGGAAGGAUGAUGGAUGGAGGCUUGGCUAGCUCUGAAGCACAUUCUGAACGUAAAGAGCUCAAACAGUGAGUUGAUAGAGGCCCUGGGUGGGUUAGAAUGGCAAAACCACCAAGUGAGCCAGAAGGUGACAAAGUGCAGUGACCCGUUCAGCCCCUUUCCUUUGGAAACAUGAGCUUACAAACUGAGCAAGGACAAGUGUAUUGGUGUGUUCCCAGUGGGUAGUCUGGAUUUGUUCUGUUGUAAACUGGGCCGUUCCCAGCAGACGAUGAGAGACUGAGGUUGGAAGGGACAGCUCCCUGGAGGCUGACCAACACUCUGCUGCUCACAGCUCCAUUAUGACGGCGCUACCCUAUUUAUAAAGGUUAAACUGAGAUUAAACAUUAAGAGAUGGUCUGGACAAAAAUGUGAGCUAGUAAAUGCUGACUAAUUCAGGAGAAAAGAAAGGUUCUUUAUAUGAAAAUGAUAUAUUGUUCUUUAAGAAUGAAUCCAAACAGGAAAAACUUUGAUCAAAUCUUUCCCUGAUCUUCAGAACAGAAGGCAUCAAGGAACUGUUUCUAUAGUUACGAUUGGUCAGUGUUUCUCUUUGUGUAAUCCAGGAAGAAAAACAAUGUACAAUCGGUACAACUGGAGCUUUUUUGUGUGUUUUUGUGCAAAUGUAAUCUAAA